CUUAGGAAAAGAAAUCAAUUGAGAUUCCCUCAGUAGCGGCGAGCGAACGGGGAUCAGCCCAUUAAGUUAUGUGUGUUUUAGUGGAACGCUCUGGGAAGUGCGAACGUAGAGGGUGAUAUUCCCGUACACGAAAGGGCACACAUAAUGAUGACGAGUAGGGCGAGGCACGUGAAACCUUGUCUGAAUAUGGGGGGACCAUCCUCCAAGGCUAAAUACUCCUGACUGACCGAUAGUGAACCAGUACCGUGAGGGAAAGGCGAAAAGAACCCCUGUGAGGGGAGUGAAAUAGAUCCUGAAACCGCAUGCAUACAAGCAGUGGGAGCACCUUCGUGGUGUGACUGCGUACCUUUUGUAUAAUGGGUCAGCGACUUAUAUUCAGUAGCGAGGUUAACCGUAUAGGGGAGCCGUAGAGAAAUCGAGUCUUAAUAGGGCGUUUAGUUGCUGGGUAUAGACCCGAAACCAGGCGAUCUAUCCAUGAGCAGGUUGAAGGUUGGGUAACACUAACUGGAGGACCGAACCCACUGUCGUUGAAAAGCCAGGGGAUGACUUGUGGAUAGGGGUGAAAGGCUAAUCAAGCCUGGUGAUAGCUGGUUCUCCCCGAAAGCUAUUUAGGUAGCGCCUCGGACGAAUACCAUAGGGGGUAGAGCACUGUUUCGGCUAGGGGGUCAUCCCGACUUACCAAACCGAUGCAAACUCCGAAUACCUAUGAGUACUAUCCGGGAGACAGACUGCGGGUGCUAACGUCCGUAGUCAAGAGGAAAACAAUCCAGACCGCCAGCUAAGGCCCCAAAAUCAUAGUUAAGUGGGAAACGAUGUGGGAAGGCAUAGACAGCUAGGAGGUUGGCUUAGAAGCAGCCACCCUUUAAAGAAAGCGUAAUAGCUCACUAGUCGAGUCGGCCUGCGCGGAAGAUGUAACGGGGCUAAAACUAUGUGCCGAAGCUGCGGAUGUAUACUUUGUAUACGUGGUAGGGGAGCGUUCUGUAAGCCGAUGAAGGUGUGUUGAGAAGCAUGCUGGAGGUAUCAGAAGUGCGAAUGCUGACGUGAGUAACGACAAAACGGGUGAAAAACCCGUUCGCCGAAAGACCAAGGGUUCCAGUCCAACGUUAAUCGGGGCUGGGUGAGUCGACCCCUAAGGCGAGGCCGAAAGGCGUAGUCGAUGGGAAAAUGGUUAAUAUUCCAUUACUUCUGUGUAAUGCGAUGAGAGGACGGAGAAGGCUAAAUCAGCCUGGCGUUGGUUGUCCAGGUGAAAGGAUGUAGGCAUGUAUCU
rnacentral:rRNA from 1 species